rnacentral:rRNA from 1 species
UGAGUAACCUGCCCCGGAGACCGGGAUAACCCUCCGAAAGGGGGAGCUAAUACCGGAUGUCCUCACCGAGCCGCAUGGCCUGGUGAAGAAAUGGAUUCCGCUCCGGGAGAGCCUCGCGGCCUAUCAGCUAGUUGGUGGGGUAACGGCCCACCAAGGCUUCGACGGGUAGCUGGUCUGAGAGGACGAUCAGCCACACUGGGACUGAGACACGGCCCAGACUCCUACGGGAGGCAG